GUGCCAGCCGCCGCGGUAAUACGUAGGGUCCGAGCGUUGUCCGGAGUUACUGGGCGUAAAGCGCGCGCAGGCGGCGGUAUAAGCAUGGCGUGAAAGCCCCAGGCUCAACCUGGGAGGGUCGUCGUGGACUGUACCGCUUGAGGGCGAUAGGGGCUGGUGGAAUGCCUGGUGUAGUGGUGAAAUGCGUAGAGAUCAGGCGGAACACCCGUGGCGAAGGCGGCCAGCUGGGUCGUCCCUGACGCUGAGGCGCGAAGGCGUGGGGAGCGAACGGGAUUAGAUACCCGGGUAGUCC
rnacentral:rRNA from 1 species